rnacentral:rRNA from 1 species
UACGUAGGGGGCAAGCGUUGUCCGGAAUCAUUGGGCGUAAAGAGCGUGUAGGCGGCCUGGUAAGUCGGCUGUGAAAGUCAAGGGCUCAACCCUUGAAUGCCGGCCGAUACUGUCAGGCUAGAGUCCGGAAGAGGCGAGUGGAAUUCCUGGUGUAGCGGUGAAAUGCGCAGAUAUCAGGAGGAACACCUAUGGCGAAGGCAGCUCGCUGGGACGGUACUGACGCUGAGACGCGAAAAGCGUGGGGAGCGAACAGG